rnacentral:tRNA from 1 species
AACCACUCAGCCAUCUCUCC